UACGUAGGGUGCGAGCGUUGUCCGGAAUUAUUGGGCGUAAGGAGCUCGUAGGCGGUUUGUCGCGUCUGCCGUGAAAGUCCGGGGCUCAACUCCGGAUCUGCGGUGGGUACGGGCAGACUAGAGUGAUGUAGGGGAGACUGGAAUUCCUGGUGUAGCGGUGAAAUGCGCAGAUAUCAGGAGGAACACCGAUGGCGAAGGCAGGUCUCUGGGCAUUAACUGACGCUGAGGAGCGAAAGCAUGGGGAGCGAACAGG
rnacentral:rRNA from 1 species